ACGAACGCUGGCGGCAUGCCUAACACCUGCCAGUCGCACGAGACCUUCGGGUCUAGUGGCGCACGGGUGCGUAACGCGUGGGAACCUGCCCUUAGGUUCGGAAUAACUCCCCGAAAGGGGUGCUAAUACCGGAUAAUGUCUUCGGACCAAAGAUUUAUCGCCUUUGGAUGGGCCCGCGUUGGAUUAGCUAGUUGGUAGGGUAAAAGCCUACCAAGGCGACGAUCCAUAGCUGGUCUGAGAGGAUGAUCAGCCACACUGGGACUGAGACACGGCCCAGACUCCUACGGGAGGCAGCAGUGGGGAAUAUUGGACAAUGGGCGAAAGCCUGAUCCAGCAAUGCCGCGUGAGUGAUGAAGGCCUUAGGGUUGUAAAGCUCUUUUACCCGGGAUGAUAAUGACAGUACCGGGAGAAUAAGCUCCGGCUAACUCCGUG
rnacentral:rRNA from 1 species